UCCCUGGAGGACUAGUGGUUAGGCCUCUGUGCUCUCACUGCCAUGGCCCAGGUUCGAUUCCUGGCCAGAGAA
rnacentral:tRNA from 1 species